GGUUAAGCAAUUUUAAACUUGUUUUGUAUACAAGAAAACAGGAAAGUAGCGAAUAAAACCUACUCCAUGAAUAUUAAACUUCUGUCACAGGACACAUUCGUGUAAGGCUAUCGUUUUUAGAUCAAAUAAUAUGUCAAAGAUAGUUUGGAACAAUCCCUUCCCUCACUUACAAAUGUAAAAGCCGUUGUCUAAAUACCACAACUGGCCGUGAUACAGCAACAAUUUGGACACAAUCAUAAUAAUGAAAAAUUAUGCGUAUCUUAAGUAUUUUAUUUUAUUUUUAUAAACACCACUUACUCCAUUGUUUCGCUUAUAUAAAUAUGUAUUUAAAUAAACCAAAUGAAUAAGCGGAGUACUGUAAUGUAAUUAACAAAUUAAGUAUAUUUAAUUACAGACAUUCAUCGUCAAGAGACUCACAUUCUGUGGUUUAAUGAUGACCCAAACCUAUUAACAACUCGAGGCUUUCAGUAUCCCUAACUUUAAACAAAGGAACAUUACUUGAAACAAAUGACAUGUAGAUGAUUUAAAGCAAUAAGGCAGAGCAAAGGCAAUCACAAGGACAUUAAUAGUCAUUUGUGCGGAUGUUGUGUAUAAAUCACGCCGUGCCUGCCUAAUGAGUGCAAAGUUUUAUGACAAAACAGUUCAAUAUAUUUUUAUUAUACAAUAAAACUUGCACGUACUAAAACUG